UGACAUUGAAGGGUUUCUUGUGGCUAUGGGAUUAUCUGCGUAUCAUUCAAGUGAGUGGAGACUCUUUAUUGAUAGCUCAAAAAGAAGUUUAAAGUGUGUUUUACUUCACAAUGAUAACAUAUAUGGAUGUAUCCCUAUUGGACACUCAGUCUUCAUGAAGGAGGAGUAUGGAAACAUCAAAAUAGUACUUGAACGAUUGAAAUACCUCAAUCACCAGUGGUUAAUCUGUGUGGAUUUAAAAAUGGUGGACUUCCUUUUGGGUCAGCAAGGAAGUUACACAAAAUACCCUUGUUUGCAUUGCUACUGGGACAGUAGAGCUGACAAGGAUCACUGGGUUAGAAUGGAAUGGUCAUCAAGGCAUACGUCGGUAUCUGGAGAGAAGAAUGUCUUUAAUUAACCACUAGUUGAUCAAAAAAACAUCCUCCUUCCACCAUUGCACAUCAAACUCGUACAUAUGUUCAACCUUUUCGAUUCUUAGUGAUGCGAAUAAAAAGGCAGGGAUAUUCGACGGACCCCAGAUCAGAACAUUACUCAGGGAUAUACACUUCAUUGAGAGGAUGACCGCUGUCGAAUCCCGAGCGUGGACUGCAUUUACUAAUGUUUUGCAGGGUUUUCUUGGGAACAAGAAAAACGACAAUUACCAAGAGAUUGUGGAUGAACUUCUCCUUAGUCUACGAGAGCUCGGGGUCAGAAUGAGCAUCAAACUGCACUACUUACACGGUCACCUGGACACGUUUCGAGACAACCUUGGAGAUUAUAGCGACGAACAAGGUGAGAGGUUCCACCAAGACAUUAAAGUCAUGGAAGACGGAUAUCAAGGUCGUUGGGACUCGCAUAUGAUGGCUGAUUUCUGCUGUGGUUGAUCAGGGAUCAUUCAGAUGCUCUACAUAAAAGGGCGUCAUCAAAAAGGAAGUUUACUCCAAAAAUGAACUAAUAUGUUUGUCUACAAACAAAAAUUCACUGUUCCUCCAUCUACUAGUUUGAUAUAACAUUCUAUGUUUGUAAUAAUAUUGAAUUUCGUCAAAUAUGUGUUAGUACUUUCAUGUUUUGUAUUUUUUUUAGUUUUGUAUGUUUAAACAAUAUUAGAUUGUUGUGUCUUGUAUUGAAAAAUAAAAU
rnacentral:lncRNA from 1 species